rnacentral:rRNA from 1 species
GACAGAGGGUGCGAACGUUGUUCGGAAUUACUGGGCGUAAAGCGCAUGUAGGCGGCAGCGCAAGUCGGGCGUGAAAUCCCACGGCUCAACCGUGGAAGUGCACUCGAAACUGCGCAGCUAGAGUCCUGGAGAGGAAGGUGGAAUGCUUGGUGUAGAGGUGAAAUUCGUAGAUAUCAAGCGGAACACCGGUGGCGAAGGCAGCCUCCUGGGCCAGCACUGACGCUCAUGCACGAAAGCGUGGGGAGCAAACAGG